rnacentral:rRNA from 1 species
GACGAACGCUGGCGGCGUGCUUAACACAUGCAAGUCGAACGGAAAGGCCCUGCUUGCAGGGUACUCGAGUGGCGAAGGGGUGAGUAACACGUGGGGGAUCUGCCCUGCACUCCGGGAUAAGCCUGGGAAACUGGGUCUAAUACCGGACAGGAGCCAUUUUUAGUGUGAUGGUUGGAAAGUUUUUUCGGUGUAGGCUUAGCUCGCGGCCGAUCAGCUUGUUGGUGGGGUAAGGGCCUACCAAGGAGGCGACGAGUAGCCGGCCUGGGUGUGUGGACGGCCACAGUGGGACUGGGACUCGGCCCAGACUCCGACGGGCAGCAGCGGUGGGGAAUAUUGCACUAUGGGCGUGAGCCUGAUGCAGCGACGCCGCGUGGGGGAUGACGGCCUUCGGGUUGUAAUCGCCUUUCGCUUGGGACGAAGCUUUUUGUGACGGUACCUAGAUAAGAAGCUCCGGCUAACUACGUG